UACGGAAGGCAGCAGUGGGGAAUAUUGCACAAUGGGCGCAAGCCUGAUGCAGCCAUGCCGCGUGUAUGAAGAAGGCCUUCGGGUUGUAAAGUACUUUCAGUCGUGAGGAAGGUGUUAAGGUUAAUAACCUUAGCAAUUGACGUUAGCGACAGAAGAAGCACCGGCUAACUCCGUGCCAGCAGCCGCGGUAAUACGGAGGGUGCGAGCGUUAAUCGGAAUUACUGGGCGUAAAGGGCACGCAGGCGGUUAAUUAAGUUGGAUGUGAAAUCCCCGGGCUUAACCUGGGAAUGGCAUUCAAGACUGGUUAGCUAGAGUCUUGUAGGGGGGUAGAAUUCCAUGUGUAGCGGUGAAAUGCGUAGAGAUGUGGAGGAAUACCGGUGGCGAAGGCGGCCCCUGGACAAAGACUGACGCUCAUGUGCGAAAGCGUGGGGAGCAAAC
rnacentral:rRNA from 1 species